rnacentral:rRNA from 1 species
CAUAGUGUGGUACGGCUCUACGGAGUUGUGCCAUACGUUUCGAAUAACGUGCCAGGGAGUUCAUCUAAGUGGCAAGGGUAAUCUACAAGAGUACCCAAAGCGAAAGCAACAUGCUCACAGCUUGCGAGGAGCGUGGUAUGAAAAUGCCAGAAGUCACUUGGGUGUAACCCGAAGCCGGACGAUCUAACCGUGGGUAAGGUGAAGCAACCGUAAAAGGUUGUGGAGGCCUGAAGAGGUUCUACGAGCAAGUGUUCUUCUAACUUGCGGUUAGGGGUGAAAAGCCAAUCGAGUCCGGCAAUAGCUGGUUCCUACCGAAAUUGGCCGUAGUCAAGCCUUAGGGGAGAUAGUUGGAGUAGUAGAGCUACGGGUUGAAGAUUUAGGUCCUGAAAGGGAUCGGUUUUCUGUCCAACUCCGAACAUUUCAACAUCAAAGAACCUAAGAGACGGGAAGCCGAGGUAAGCUCGGUUUCCGAGAGGGGAACAACCCAGACUAUAGUUAAGGUCCCUAAAUACUGACUAAGUGUGAAAGGGUGAAAAGUGUCUAUCGUCGAAGACAGCAAGGAGGUUGGCUUAGAAGCAGCCAUCCUUUAAAAAGUGCGUAACAGCUUACUCGUCAAGAUGAUAGGCCUUUAAAAUGGACGGGACUAAGUCAGUUACCGAUACUAUAGAAUGCUUAAAAAGCAAUUAGU